rnacentral:lncRNA from 1 species
UUGAAGUGUGCUGUAAUCAAAUUUAUAAGGAGCAUCGAGUAUGGAUUAUAAGAGACAAUAAGUUUAGUGUUUGAUGUUUUAAGGCGAGUGAUGUAUAAUAAUUUUAGUUGAAGAGAGGUCAUGUGAAGUUAAAUUGAUAAAAGAUGGAUUGAAGUUGAUGUAAAACAAUGUAUGUGUUGAAAAGUUUUUACAUAUUAUUAAAAUAUUAUAAAAUAUCAAAAUAUAAAAACGUUACAUAAAUUAUUAAAAUUAGAAAAAUAUAAUAAUUACUACUUAUUUCAUAAAAUUUAAUAAUUUAAUAAAUUCUAUAAAAUUUUAAUAUUUCUUAUAUAAUUUUUUAUUUAAUGUUGAUUUAAGCUUUUUAUGUUUUUGAUUAAUAUUUUAAACAUAUUAAUUAUUUUGGUUAGAUGAUUAGAUAAUUGUGAUUUCAUCCUUUAAUUCCUCCUACAAUCAUUUUAAUAUGUAUUGUACAACACAAUUUAUGCCCGGGCCCAACAAGAAGAAAAAAAUAAGCCGAACAGAAAACCCAAACAGCCCAACACCAAAUAAAAAAGAAGAGAAAAAACCCUAGCCCUAGGUCUUCUGCCGUCAACUGGUUACCUGCCCUCUGUGCGCCGCUGCCACCACCGACCGCCACCAACUCGUCCAUCACCCUGCAAAAGGGAACAAACACGCAAAUAGCAGCGAAAAUGACAGCAAAGAAAUUUAGAAAUAGAUAGGCUAUAAAAGCCAAACAUUACUUUUUGUAUUUGGACUGACAAAAAAGAAAUCAGUGAAUGAAAAGAAAAAAUUAAGAAAAAGGUUGAUUACAUUUCUUCUUCUGUUCUUGUGUGUUCUUUACUUUCUUUAUUUUCCUUAUUUUAUUUUAUUUUAUUUUUGUAUGCUUUACUACCCUUUUUAACAUAAACGAAAUAAAAAAUAUAAGAAAGAGGUACCAGAAUCACCCUGUCGUCUUACCGUCCUGGCCGUCGCCGGAUUUGAAUCGGGAUAAGGGGAUAAGGGGCCUUUCUUUUCGGUUUUGGGGGUCAAAAAACCCGAGUCUUCGGGUUUAUAUUAAAACCCAGGCACCCUUCGCUCCUCGUCAGCCUUUGGUCGCAGUGACCACGGCGAAUCGCCGUUGGAGUCCGCCGGAGCUCGAAAGGGGAUGAAGCGGCUAAAGGAGCAGGGAGGGAAUUUUUUUUUUUUAUUUCUGCUGUUGAAUAAAAGUUAGGUUUUUUUUAGUUUUAUAACAUUUAAAACGGCGCCGUUUAGCCUCCAUGACCCGCGCGCGACCCGACCCGGCCAGGGGAUCCGCGUUUUUCGUUGGAAGGGCUAAUUCACCUUUAGCCCUUCCGAUUUUUAAUGCAUUUUUAAUUGGGUAUCUUUAAAAAUUUUAAUUUUACCCCGUUAUUUUACGGCGAUUUCAAUUAGGUCCAUCCUGGAACGGCGUCGUUUUGAGGGAAAAGGGAAAAUUCUCGUUUUGGCCCCUCACGUUGUGCACGCGUUCAGAAAGAUCCAGCCCAUUCAUUUUUAUUUAUGGAUUUGUCUCAAAGUUUUGUUUUCAACCCAAAUUAGUCCCUUUUCUGUUAUUUUGUUAUUUUUAUUAAUUAACUUAGUUUGUUUUAUAUUUAUUUAUUCCUCACUAUUAUAUUAUUACAUUAUGUUAUAUUUUCGUAUUAUUAUUGUUAUUAUAUUUCUAAUUUAUGAUUUUAUCUAAGUUUAAAUUUAUUAUUAUUUGUUCAUUUAUACCAUUUCAUUUCAUAUUUAACCAUAUAUACAAAGACAUACAUAUCUGUGAUUUAUUUAUAUAUAUACAUACAUACUUCUAUAAUUUAUAUGCUUUAUAAUUUAUAUACAUACAUUAUACAUACUUUUUUUAUAUAAUACAUAUGCAUAAAUACAUACACGUGCACACAUUUUUAUAACUUAUCUAUAUAUAUAUAUAUGUAUUUAUACAUACUUAUAUUUUAUAUUUUAUAAUUUAUCUAUACAUCUAUAUAUACCUAUAUACAUAUUUUUCCUUUUCUUUUUCUCACGAAUAUACAUAUACAUACUUAUAUUUUUAUAACUUUUAUAUACAUAUACAUGUAUAUACAUACUUACAUAAACUUUUAUAUUUAAUAAUUUUAAUAUAUGUAUAUAUUUUUUAUAUUUUCAUAAUUUUAUGUGUAUACACACAUAUAUAUUCCCCUUGUAGUUAUAUACAUAUUUUUAUAUUUUUUAAUUUUGAUCUAUUUCUUUGUUGUUAUUAUUUGUUUUACUUAAUGUUCAUUUAUUUAUUUAUUUUAAAUGUCUUAGUUUUUCUUAUUUACUUGUUAUUGUAUAUACAUGAUUGAUUUGUUUUUUUGUUCAUUUUUUUACUCAUUAUUUUUAUGCACAUUAUCAUAUUUGUUAUUCCAUUAUGCAUAUUAACACCAUACUUCAAAAAGAAAAUUUUCUAAAUGAGGCAAUAUUUAGCAUUUGGAAACUUGAGAAAAUGUGUCCUAAUGUGUUGGGUUUCAAUUUUUUUCGUUUAACCAAAUAGCUAAAAAUCCUUUUAAAAAUUUCAAAAUAAGACAAUGUUUUACGUUUGGAAAUUCGAGAAAACAUGCCCUAAUGUGUUGGGUUUCGAUUUUCUCGUUCGACCAAAUAGCCGAAUACCCUCUUAAAAAAUUCAAAAUAAGGCAAUGUUUGCGUUUGGGAAAUCGAUGAAACGUGCCCUAAUGUGCUGGGUUUCGAUUUCUCGUUGAACCAAAUAGCCAAAUAUCCUUUUAUAUCUUAAUCCAUGUCAUUCAAGUUUUUAAGGAUCGUACUUUAAAUCUCUUUAAAGCGUUUAAUUUUCGACAUUAAGACAUUAACUAAUCAACUAGGUACCAAUUUUUGGGCGUUACGAGGGUGUUAAUCCUUCCUCGUACGUAAUCGACUCCCGAACUCGUUUUUUUUGAAUUUCGUGGACCAAAAUCGUUAUUUUAAUAAAAUUAAAUCAUUUAUUAAAAAUAACCGUUUUUCAAGGUGAUCCGAUCACACUUUAUCAAAAAAGAUUGGUGGCGACUCUCGUUUUUUUCGUUUUUAUUUUUUCAAAAUCUAAGUCGACCCCAUUUUCAUCAAAAAAUGGUGUCAACAUGUAUUUUUUUGUUUCAUGUUGUUUCAAGCUUUUUUUUAAUUAACGUUUAUAAUUAAUAAAUAUAUUGUUUUCAAGUUUUUUUAGUUUUAAUUAAUCUUUUUAAUUAAUAACCCUUUUAUUUAUAAAAUCAAAUAAUUAUUAUAAAUAUCAUUAUUUUUAGUAAAUAUAAUUUUUAUGUGUAAUAUUUAUUUGAUUUUAUAAUAUUAUAAAUCACCACAUCCCCAUAAUAUAGGUAGAAAAAUAAAUAUGUGACAUAUAAAUAUUACACAUAUAAAAAUUAUAUUUACUAAAAAUAAUGAUAUUUGCAAUAAUUAUUUGAUUUUAAAUAUAAAAGAGUUAUUAAUUAAAAAUAAAAAAGAAAACAAUAUAUUUAUUAAUUGUAAACAUUAAUUAAAAAUAAAAAGCUUGAAACAAUAACAUGAAAUAAAAGAUAAAUAUUAAAAUAUUUAUAAAAGGAAUUAAACUUAGGACUUGUGAAUGAAAUCACAAUUAUCUAACUUAAAGAACGAAUGUGUUAAAAAUAUUAAUUGAAAACAUAAAACAAAAAAUAUAAAUGUGAGUAAGAGAAGAAUCGAACUUGAGACUUAAAGAUAAAAACACUAAGAUUUAACUACUAGACCAAAAAAAGCUAAGUUAUAUAUUUUUAAUGAAAAGUGGAAUACGUUUUCUUUUCUUUCCAAAAAUAGCAUAAAUGAUAAAUUAAAAAAAAUAUUUUCCAAAUAAAUUUUUUUCCAACAUAUUUAUAAAAAUUAUCCUUUUUCCAGGAAACUUCCUCAUGUAGAAUACAAUUACGGGUCAGACCAGACGUGUUUCAAACUUAGCCCGAUUAGUCCACCAAUUUCAUUUCUUCAAAAAACAAACAAAAGAGAGGCCAUACAUUAUUUAUUACUUAGUUGCGUAAAGACCACGAUGCUUGAUUUGCUGUCCUCCACUCUUCCUUCUCUUUUCUUGGAAAUUUCAGAAUUUCUAGACCCAAAAAAUUAGGUUAAAAAGAUGUUAUAACUUUGUGUAUUUUUUAUAUUUUAUUUUUUGAAAUUUAUUCUAUUUAUUUUUUAUAUUUCAAAUUUUAAUUUUAAUUGUUAAGAUUGUUAAAUUUAUUGGUGUGUUAUUUUAAAAUAAAAAAAAGAUAUAACUAAAAAGAGACAUAAUAGAAUUCAAAUGAAUAAAAUAAUAUACUUUAAUUUUAAAUUUUGAAAAGUAAAAGAUUAAAACUUACAACAUAAAUAAACGCUUUUACUAAAUUAUAAAGCUUUAAAAUUAGUAGUGGAAUUGAUUAGAUGAUCCGUUCUUAAUUUAAUCAAUUCAAUUGUCAAUUCAAUAAUUAAUUAAUAAUUAAUAAUUUUUUUAUCUCAAUUUUUUGUUUUUUUUUUAUCACUAUCCAUUUGAUCUAUAUCCAAUUUUUUGCCACUAGUCAAACUGAUUUAAUCGACUAAUCUAAUUUGAUUCUAGCAUCACUACUAACUUGCUGCAUAUAAAUAAUUGAAUUGCUGAUUUUUUAUAAUUUGUUUUUUUAUACAUCUUUUGUAUAAAUUAUUGAACCAAUUAUAUAAUGAUAAAAUUAAUUAUAUAAUGCUGUAAUUAGCGAUGUUAAUUAAUAAUAUGUGUCGACCCCUGUGGUCGUCUUUUGCUCAAAAAAGAAAAACAAACUAGAAACAUUAACUUCACGUUUUUCGAAAAUCAAGUUUAUUGACUAAUCAUUAGAGGUGUCCAUGGGCCGGGUCGAAUUGGAUUUAAGUUGGGCCUAAAAAAAUUUCAGGGCCCAGCUCGGCUCAAAUAUGGGCAUGAGAUUUUGUCCAAGUCCAGCCCAGGAAAAAAUAUAGAACCCGAGCCCGGCCCAGCCCGGCCCUUUUUAAAUUAAAAUUAAAACUAAUUAUUAUUAAAAUUAAUUGUUAUCAAAAUUGCAUCAAAUUAUAUUUUUUUUUACUAGUCAACAUUUUAUUAGUAAAAUUAUUAAUUAUUAAUUGUAUUAAUUGUUACUGAAAUUAUCAAAUUAUUAAUUAUUAAUUGUUACUAACAUUUUGUUUGUAAAAUUAUUAAUUGUUAGUAAAUUUAUCAAAUUAUUAAUUGUUAAUUGUAUUAAUUGUUGUAACAAAAUCUAAUAUUUUGUAACUUAAAACUUUUAAUAAAACUAAAACUAAUAUAUUUUAAAAAUAAAAAAUAUAUAUUUAAUAUUUUUCGGGUCGGGCCCGGGCUAAAAAAUUUUGCUCGAAGCCCGGCCCAUUUCUAACCGGGCCUCAUUUUUUGCCCAAGCUCUUAUUUUGGGCCUACAUUUUUACCCGAACCUUCUUAUAUUUCAGGCCGGGCCGGGCCUCCCGACCCAUGGACACCUCUACUAAUCAUCACCUUUCAUAAACCCAUUAAGGCGAUAAAUACUUAUCAGAGUUUUAAAAUUGCUUACCGAAGAUAACCUCUCAAGUGUCCUUGUGUUGGGUAUCGUGAAACUACUAAAAUCAAAAUUACAAUAUGGAGAAUAUCAUGGAACUACUUGCCUAUACGGGUCAAUAUGCAUCACAGCAAGCUAGUUAAUAAUACAAUUUGCCCCCGAUGUGGAGGAGGAACUGAAACAAUCGAUCAUCUAUUCCGCGAAUACCCUGUUUCAGUUGAAGUCUGGACAGCAUUAUCAAUCCCGAAUAUUUUAAUGGAUAGAAAUAUGGAUUUUUUACAGUGGCUUACCUGGGUUUUUGAUUAGUAUCCCACUUUUCACUGUCGACUUUUUUGUUGUGCGCUAUGGGCCAUUUGAGGAGAAAAAAAAUGCUAGAGUGCAUGAAAAGAAAAGGUGCACUGGUUAGGAAAUAACGGCUUCGUUAAUAAUUAUAUUAUUGAACUAAAUGGUAUUGAAAAAAGAAACCUGUAAUUUCAAAGGAGUUUAGAAAAUGGAAUUACCCACCUAGUGAGUUGGUCAAAAUUAAUUUUGACGAUGCAUACAAUGGGCGUCAUUACCAAUCGGCUUCGGGUAUUGUGGCCAGAAACGAUGAAGAGACCGUCCUCUUAUCUUGCUCAGAAAUCCAUCAAGAGGUGGCCUCUGCCUUCGCUGUUAAAGCGCUUGCAUGCCGAAAAGCAGUCCAAAUAGGAAUCGAAAUGCAGCGGCUGGAGAUCAUUAUCGAAGGAAACUCAUUAGCAAUAAUCAAGAAAUGUAAAGCAAAAAGUCAAGAUCGAUCACAGGUAGGAGUGUAUAUACACGAUAUUCAACAGGGAACAACUAGAUCUAGAAAUAUCGUGUUUAAAUAUACACCGAGAUUAACAAAUGCUUUAGCACAUAUGCUAGCAACAGAAUUUUUGAAAAAGAAGGAGGAGGUGUACCUGGUAAAAAGCAUCCCUAGGUAUGCCGAAAACCACAAGGAAAUUGAUUGGGUGCGAGAACCGGACUGAAAAUGGUCGGAGAAGAGAAAAAAAGAAAGGAAAGCCUUAAGUAAGUAGAUGAACAGUUUUGAAAGGAUAGCUUUCCUGAGAACUGAAACCGUCAAAAAGAUAAAAGAUAGGACGGACAUCAAUGAUUUCUAAUUGGGCAAUUUUUCGGUGUUAUUAUUAUUUUUUCUAGAUUACUCUGAAUUUAAGUCUAGGCUAUAUUUUCCUUGGGCCACUUUAAGUCUUUAGGCCAAUUUCAUUGUUUUUCUAUUUUUUCUUUUCUUUUGGACCUUUUGUUAUGUAAU